GCACUUUGUUCAUGAAAAGGAAGUGAAUGUGGUCCAUUUCCUUCCCGUGGAGAGAAAACGGAAAAGACAAGUUACAUUUUUUGUUCAACACGAGCACACAGCAUGGAAGUGACGACACCCCAUUUCCAUCAAACGACAUCAGAAAAAGGUCGAAAAUAAACAAACUUCUCUGUUUUCUUUAAUUCUCAUGGUCCAUUAUCGUUGUUAGUGGCAUAGCCACCAAGCCAAAGUGAAACUCCUUGCCAACCGCAAUAACCUCCAAAAAACACGACCCAGAGAAUCUAUUAGAAUACCAAAACAACCAGUCUUAAUUAGCUGGCAAAUUCUUGAUACCCCCUUCUUUUCUGCUCGAUUUCUCAAGAUACCCCCUUCUUAUCUCUCUAUGAGUCUUUGUCUGUUAUGUGCCUAAACUUCUUGCUAAAGUUGGUCGUGUUGAAAUUGACACUUCAUUGAUAUAAAGCAGAGAGGGGUUCGAUUUUCUUGUUUUCU
rnacentral:misc_RNA from 1 species